rnacentral:rRNA from 1 species
GACGAACCGUGCGAACGUUAUUCGGAAUCACUGGGCUUAAAGCGCGUGUAGGCGGGACGGCACGUCGGUCGCUGAAAUCCCCCGGCUCAACCGGGGAACGGGCGCCGAUACGACCGGCCUGGAGGGACGUAGGGGGACCUGGAACUUCCGGUGGAGCGGUGAAAUGCGUUGAGAUCGGAAGGAACGCCCGUGGCGAAAGCGAGGUCCUGGACGUUUACUGACGCUGAGACGCGAAAGCCAGGGGAGCGAACGGG